rnacentral:rRNA from 1 species
UACAGAGGGUGCGAGCGUUAAUCGGAAUUACUGGGCGUAAAGCGCGCGUAGGCGGCUUUGCAAGUCGAGUGUGAAAUCCCCAGGCUUAACCUGGGAAUGGCAUUGGAAACUGGCGAGCUAGAGUGUGGCAGAGGGGGGUGGAAUUCCGCGUGUAGCAGUGAAAUGCGUAGAGAUGCGGAGGAACACCGAUGGCGAAGGCAGCCCCCUGGGCUGACACUGACGCUCAGGCACGAAAGCGUGGGGAGCAAACAGG